rnacentral:rRNA from 1 species
CAGUAGCCGCGGUAAUACGUAGGGUGCAAGCGUUAAUCGGAAUUACUGGGCGUAAAGCGUGCGCAGGCGGUUUGUUAAGACAGAUGUGAAAUCCCCGGGCUCAACCUGGGAACUGCAUUUGUGACUGGCAAGCUAGAGUGUGGCAGAGGGGGUGGAAUUCCGCGUGUAGCAGUGAAAUGCGUAGAUAUGCGGAGAAACACCGAUGGCGAAGGCAGCCCCCUGGGCCAACACUGACGCUCAUGCACGAAAGCGUGGGGAGCAAACAGGAUUAGAUACCCCCGUAGUCCCUGUCUCUUAUACC